rnacentral:rRNA from 1 species
CCUACGGGAGACAGCAGUGAGGAAUAUUGGUCAAUGGACGAGAGUCUGAACCAGCCAAGUAGCGUGAAGGAUGACUGCCCUAUGGGUUGUAAACUUCUUUUAUAUGGGAAUAAAAUGUUCCACGUGUGGGCUUUUGUAUGUACCCUAUGAAUAAGGAUCGGCUAACUCCGUGCCAGCAGCCGCGGUAAUACGGAGGAUCCGAGCGUUAUCCGGAUUUAUUGGGUUUAAAGGGAGCGUAGGUGGAUUGUUAAGUCAGGUGUGAAAGUUUGCGGCUCAACCGUAAAAUUGCAGUUGAAACUGGCAGUCUUGAGUACAGGAGAGGUGGGCGGAAUUCGUGGUGUAGCGGUGAAAUGCUUAGAUAUCACGAAGAACUCCGAUUGCGAAGGCAGCUCACUGGACUGCAACUGACACUGAGGCUCGAAAGUGUGGGUAUCAAACAGGAUUAGAUACCCCUGUAGUC